rnacentral:rRNA from 1 species
AGUGAACGCUGGCGGUAGGCCUAACACAUGCAAGUCGAACGGCAGCACAGUAAGAGCUUGCUCUUACGGGUGGCGAGUGGCGGACGGGUGAGGAAUACAUCGGAAUCUACUUUUUCGUGGGGGAUAACGUAGGGAAACUUACGCUAAUACCGCAUACGGCCUACGGGUGAAAGCAGGGGAUCUUCGGACCUUGCGCGAUUGAAUGAGCCGAUGUCGGAUUAGCUAGUUGGCGGGGUAAAGGCCCACCAAGGCGACGAUCCGUAGCUGGUCUGAGAGGAUGAUCAGCCACACUGGAACUGAGACACGGCCCAGACUCCUACGGGAGGCAGCAGUGGGGAAUAUUGGACAAUGGGCGCAAGCCUGAUCCAGCCAUACCGCGUGGGUGAAGAAGGCCUUCGGGUUGUAAAGCCCUUUUGUUGGGAAAGAAAAGCAGCAGGUUAAUACCCCGCUGUUCUGACGGUACCCAAAGAAUAAGCACCGGCUAACUUCGUG